rnacentral:lncRNA from 1 species
GUUUGAUCCGGUUUGAUCCGGUUUGAACCGGUUUGAGCCGGUUUGAUCCGGUUUCAUCCGGUUUGAUCCGGUUUCAUCCGGUCUGAACCGGUUUGAUCCGGUUUCAUCCGGUCUGAACCGGGUUGAUCCGGUUUGAACCGGUUUCAGCCGGUUUGAUCCGGUUCCAUCCGGUUUGAUCCGGUCUGAACCGGUUUCAUCCGGUCUGAACCGGUUUGAUCCGGUAUGAACCGGUUUGAUCCGGUUUGAUCCGGUUCCAUCCGGUUUGAUCCGGUCUGAACCGGUUUGAACCAGUUAGAGCCGGUUUGAUCCGGUUUGAACCGGUUUGAUCCGGUUUGAACCGGUUUCAGCUGGUUUGAUCCGGUUCCAUCCGGUUUGAUCCGGUCUGAGCCGGUUUGAUCCGGUUUGAACCCGUUUGAGCCGGUUUGAUCCGGUUCCAUCCGGUUUGAUCCGGUCUGAACCGGUCUGAUCCGGUUUGAACCGGUUUGAGCCGGUUUGA